UAGCCGCAGAUAUUCUGUGCUAAGGUAGCAUAAUCAUUUGUUUUUUAAUUAAAAACUAGAAUGAAGGGUUUAACGUUUUAAUUACUUUAUUAAUAAUAAUAAUUUAACUUUUAUUAAAUAUAAAAAUAUAUUUAUAAAAUAGAUAGACGACAAGACCCUAUUGAACUUUACUUAAGUUUAGCUGGGGCAGCUUUUUAAACACGAUUUUAAUUUACAAAUAUAUAAUAAAUUAUCCAAUCCAAUUGAUUUUAUUAACAAGUUACCAUAGGGAUAACAGCGUAAUAUUAUUUUAAAGUUCUUAUUAUAAAUAAUGCUUGCGACCUCGAUGUUGAAUUAUUAUUCUUUAUAACGCAAUAGUAAUAAAAGUAGGUCUGUUCGACCUUUAAUAUUUUACAUGAUCUG
rnacentral:rRNA from 1 species